rnacentral:lncRNA from 1 species
AAUAGUUAAUAAGAUGAAAAAGAUUACGAAUAACAUUAGUAUUACAUGUACUAAUAAUGCAAGCUAUAAAUGUUUCAAGGUGUCUUACAAUUAGUCCACAUCUCCAUCUGUGUAAAAUAAGAUAUACAAAUUUGAGAAUCUAACCUUCAAAACGCGUACUUAUACGUAUACUUCAUCUCCAAAUAUGUAACAUUUCGUUUAAAUACAAUCGGAACAAAAGCGCCUACUACAUUCGUAAUUAUGAUGUCAUUUAGAACAUAAAAUCUAGUCAACAACUUCCGGUAGAUAUUGAGAAUCAUCAUUUUUUAAUCACACAGGAAAUCGUCAUCCAAGUAGCAAAUAAUGUUCAAAGUGUCAAGAUUAAUUCGACGCUAACGUUCGUACUUUCGAUUCGGACGGUUAAACGGCGGAGUUGAAUCAAUCGAUUGAUCGAACGGCCAUGCAUCACUUUCGAGAUUCAAGAACUUUGCCCCGAUACUUUUGGCAGCUCGCAGAUAAUCAUUAACGAUUUAACGCUUAAACCGGAAGGUAUUUUUACAAGUUAAAUUGCAUAAAUGUAUUGAUAGUGAAGUUUGAAACGGAUGUAAUAAGACUCCCGCGAAAGUUCGUCAUCGAUUUGCGAGUAGAUUAGAUUACGACUGUGGAAAACAAAGGUUACUGGACUUGGAACUUUCUGUUUGUAUUUUAUCAAAACACGUGCAGAAGGAUUACGUCAUACGAUGAGACAUGACACAAAACCACAUAAAAUACUAGUAAAAUAUGUACAUCAGAGAUUCCUAUUAAAUUAAUAUAACUUAUUUAACUUUUCUGUGAACAAUGACACGGAAAAUGCUGCGGAAAGAACGUUCUGCUAUACCUCGAUAAAUUUCAGGUAAAUUAUACGCCUUUCUUCGAAUCUUGUACUUUGGAGCGAUUCUACAAGCAUUAACAUACUAUUUAGUAACUUUUAAGAUGUAUUACAUGUUUACAAGAUUAAAUUUCUACAAUCAUUUGAUCUUUCUCAAAAACAAAAAAUAAGGAAUGGUGAUCGUUGGUAAAGAUUCCGAGAAAGAUAAAGUGCUUCAAGCGAUCAAAGGUCACAAAAAAAAUAACGCGAAACAUUAUAUCCUAGUUUGUAUUAAAAACCGGAUUACAAGAAAAGCAAAAAAAACAUUAAUCUUACGAAAAAACAUACACUCUUGCAACUGACGUGUAAAUUACUAACGAUUCGUACAAAACUUUGAAAAUAAUUUGCAAUGCAAAUGACAAUUGUUAGUAUACUUUGACGCGAUUUGAGCAAAAAACAGCCACUAUCAAGAAUGAGUUAAUGUGACUAUUGGGAUACAAUUAACCUUAUAUCUUUUUAAUGUCCGUUUUUUUCUUAUUUUUAUGUAAUUAUCAACGUUUCUUAAGAAGGGGACAACAAUGCGUGUGGCAUCAUUAAGAGGACAUGGACGACAUUGAAACAGUUGAUCGCUGAGUAAACUUCCUCAAAGAGAACGAAGUGGACUAUCUGCGCGGAGAUAACCGUAAUCUUGUUUAUGGAAUUAAACAACCAUCAUUGUCUCAGAAUGUAACAAAACUCUAGUAAUGUCGAUCAACUUGGGGCAGCUUGAAACUCUGUCAGAUUUGUCGAAUAAAAAAAUGGAUAUCCGACAGAAGCGGGAAAGGAGAUUCUCGAACAAUAAUUACUUCACAGUUACAACGCGAACAAAGUGAAUGCGAGAAAUGAAUCAUCAAGUGCACGUUGUUUAGCUUCCGACAAGUUGUAACUGUGGAAUCGUUACAAUGUAAAAAUAUCAACUCCGCUCGUGCAGAAAAUUUAUUGCUCACUUUGAUCGGUCCAUUUGUAACAUAAUGAUUAUGAUUUAUAACGAUUGGUCGAAGUACAUUGCAAAUCUUAUCGCAUGGUAUGAAUCAACAAUGAAAGUCCAGCAAAAAUUAUUGUGAAGAUCCGAGCUAAUACGUCGAAAGAGGACAACACGAAUUCAAGUUCAACGUUUGUUGUUCUCGGCACCAGCGCCUUUGUCGCGAUUAAACGUCCUUGCUCAACGGAUCAACUUCUUUUUUUUCACUUCGAAUGAGAUUGCAACAGCAACUACUUUAUAUUGCGAAUACGAAUAAGCGACAGACUAUAUUGAAAAUUGUUCAGAAUCUUGCUUCUUUUUUAUGGCGAAUAUUCUGGCAACAACUUUUUGACGAGAAUUUAUCCGCUGUUCUAAUGCUCAUCACCCGCAGCUUUCUACAAAGAUUUACACAACAUUGCAUUUAUUGCGUGCAACGUACUUUCGCUGAGGUCAUGACAACGAACGAUGAGGAUUCUGGAACCGACUCAGGAAUACCAUCAUAGCAGAUCUGUGAUUCAUGGUUCAAAAACCAGAUACCGGUCAUUUUACACCGAUGUACGCACGCGUUAGUCUUCACCUCGAUACAACGAGGUCGUAGAACUUUUCAGAAGCCCUACUGUACAUGUCUCGAAAGAAGUUUCGUAAAAGUAAUAACUUUUAUUGUUAAACGUGGAGAUCUGUAUCUCUUAAACGCAUAAGUCCCAUAUCUUAUUUUGAGAUUUCAAAUUUUUAUCCGAGUUCCCAAGCUUUCACGACGGCUUUGCAAAAGAGCAUGUACUGUAAUGUCUAGUAAAUUACUUCAUGUAAAAAGAACAUAUAUCACAUUGCAUCAUGUAUUAUGUAUUAAUUUUUCUGCUUAUUAAGGAUGCAUUAUAUAAUAGUAUUUGCGUCCAUAAUUAGCAUAAUAGAGCAGGGCAUGUCAAUAUCUGUUAAAACAAAUUAUACAGAUUAGUCAAUAAUUACUUAAUUAAGACAUUACGUUACAUGUGUUUUUAUACGGUCUUACUGGACUUUCUGUUCUAAUCUAAAAUUCUUAAAGUCAAUUAAACGCGAUUAGCAUCAUAAAUUGGCACUUGCGUCUUAUUGAAAUUUAUUUCAAUUUAUUGCCGAAUGUAUUUAUAUGAAGAGAUAAGUUUACCGAUGUUUAUGGUAUUAAUCAUGCAACUUUUUUGCGAGCUAGUUGAAACGACUUUUGUUCUUUCCGUUAGACGCUCGUCUUCCUGACUCACCGCUGCUGUUUUUAUAAAUAAAUCAACCGGUUUUGAACAACGUGUAAUUAACGCGAACCAAUAUUUAUCAUAUAUUCUUCUCUUGAUUAGUACCGUUCAAUCAAAGGAAUACGCUUAUGAAAAUUACAUGGAAAAUUGAUUGUCUGGUUACUUUCACUUAGACAUUAAAUAACUGAAAACUGUAUAUGUAGGUUAAACGAAAGCUAUUGUGUUUUCCUCGAUGUUCCUGUAGACUAGGACAAAAGAUCUUCUGCCGCAACUAAGAUUGACGAUAAGAAACAGUAUUUUUCUUAUUCCUAAUAAUAGCUUCCGUUUAUCGCAAAAAAGAAAUGUGUCGCUGCAUUAUUAUCAUCAAAUUAGAAAUACAAAGAUAAUACGAGUUAACAAAAAAGAAGCCUUGAUAAACUUCCGAGUUUGCACUUAAAAAAUGUAUAUGUUUAUUAAUUUAUGUAAAUUACAUAUUGUAGAGUAUUAUUACUACUUGUUAUAUGACCAUAGUGUGGUAUGUCAUGUUAUCUGAUCGUGCGUUAUAUUAUACGUCAUAUAUGUAUGUCCACGUGUUAUAUCGCCAUACGCGUUGUGUGACAUCUACUGUCACGCAAUACAUAACCACAUAUUAUAAUACCGCGCGCUAUAUUUCAGCGAAAAUGAAACGAGUGAACAAGUAAUCUCCAAAUUUAUUUUAUCGAGUAAACUUCGAUCGUAUCGAAUAUCAAACUACUUAACGAAAAGUACUGUGAUAUUUUACAAGAACAGUGCAGUCAUUCGUAUCUAUUAAUUUAAUAAAGACGAGCUUACUAUCAAACAAGAAAUAGUUAACUAUACUUUUAUCUUGAGCGUAUUUCUUAUAGAACAUCAUCGAACGAUAAAGUUCGAUAACGACGAAAAAUAAAUUGGACAAUCCGAUGGAUUUUUCACUAUCUUCUUGUAAAUACUUCCGCGAUAACAAAAUGAUCAAUAAAUCCAAUAUUGCACACGUAUACGCAGGACAUGAUGCAAACAAAGUUCAGUCGGUCAUAUGCUGCAAUUUCACUGUUCGAUCUUCGUAUCGAUGUUUACUAAUUGAUUUCCAAAUGAUGCGGAACGAGUUAGGUUAAU